rnacentral:lncRNA from 1 species
CACUCCAUUUACCAGAUUGAGCUUCUGCAAUGCAACAACAUAGAGCAAGCUUGACCAUCAUUUAUCACCUAAUGGAUAUAACAAAAGGCCAUGCUAUCCCUUCUAAUGAUCAUGCAUAAAACUUUAUAUAAUUCAGAAUUUUGUAUUUGAUUUUUUAAUUUUUUUUCAUCAACAAAGUUUUUAAUUUCGCAAAGCACACUGAACAUCCGAAUUAUUAAAAACAUUCUCUCAUUUCUCCCAAUUGUAAUAAAAUAAUUGGCUUAAAAAUUUCCCUUUCCAUUUUCCAAUUUAAUCUUAUCAGAUCACCCAACUCUCUCUCCUUGCUAUAAAAUCAAUCUCUGCACUUCUCCUUUAAGAAUCUCGAUACCUCUAAAAGAAUCUCUUGUGACUCGUUAUAAAUCAAGGGAAUAGCCCUGGCACCAGCGGAUUCAACAAACUUAACGUACGACGCAGCAAUAUACGAGCCGUUCGUCGCGUUAUUCAGCCUCCCGGAGGCACCGUCGCCUGGAUGACUCAAAAUUCCAAUUACAGGCCGGUAAUUCAACUUGAUGUCCGGAGCCGGACAGCUAGUCACGGAAGGCGAGUUGACUCGGGAGGAGAAUCGAAGGAUUGAAAGUUGUAGCUGUUGCUGCUUGAGCUAGGGUUAGCUCUUUAGAGAGUGAGAUUAAGAAAGCGAACCACAAGUAAUUCCACAUGUCUGGAGCAGUAGAGGAGGCGGUGGAGUUUGAGGUGAGGGAAAUGGCGGUUUAUAAGGUUAUUUGAGGAGCAGUGGUUACGUAAGGAUGACAAAUGUGAUGGGGACAAUUGGAAACCAUUUUAUCUUCUUACAGAGUAUGUGAACGGAAACUGUCCUUGGCCAAUUACAAUUUUCAAUUAAAAAAGCAUUAUCUUCGUGAUUUCUUCUCGAAUCAUCUAUAGUAACAAAAAUUAAAUUAAAUUAAAGGCGUUUCCAAUGAACACACAUAAUUCAUUAUUCGUCUUUUGAUACAUUUCAUUGGUCACUAAAUAAUUGAUCGAAGGUAUUACUGUUUUUCUAAUUUUUUUUAAUAAAAUAAAAUGACCUUAUUAUAUUCUAAUUUGAUAUUUUUAAAAAUUGGCUAAAACAAUUUUUUUUUAUUUUUUAAAAGGCAGCUCAAUAACAAGUUUACCAUUGAGAUAAAAAUAUUAAACCAUGCAUAUAAAGAUUUUUUUAUCUUUUCACUUUUUUGUUUUUUUUUAUCAUUAUGGGGCAUUUUGUCUUUUAACAAAAAUUAAAUAUUAAUUAAAUUGAAAAAGUUGUUGAGUAUGGUAGGUGUUCACGCACGUUGAACGGUACAUGCUGUGUUUCACAGUGGCAUAAAAUGUCCUUUAAUCAUGUCAUUGAAAACGUCGCUGAGUUCUUUUUUUCCUGGUAUGACGUGUCUUGGUGGAGGUGUGGCGGUUUAUUAUCGGUCACCUUUUUUUUUUUCUUCUUCUUUUCUCUCUCAUCCCCUAUAAAUUUCAAGUUGAUCUUGUUGUUGAUAUUUCAACUUUGAUCCAUAUUUUUUUUAUUUCUAAUUUUUUUUCUUAAUUCUUUUGUCAAAAUUUUAUUACCUUUUUCAAAUUGAUCAUUAUUAUUUUGAUUUCUAAUGUUUUUCAUUAAUCCGUUUAUAAAAGUUUUAUUGGUUUUUAAUUUCAUCAUUCAAUUAAAGUUUAUGGUGUAUUGGUUUUUUGAUUUUUUCCUCAUUCUUUUGCCUUUUUUUUUUUGUUAAAGUUAUUUUCCUUUUCAAUUUAACCAUUCAUUCAAAAAAUUGCAAUUGCCCUCUAAUUUAUUUUUUUAUUUUCAUUGUCAUUUUUAUUCUUUUAAUAGCUAUUUUUUUAGAUCAUUUUGUGUAAUUGAUUUUUUUUCUUCAUAAUUUCAUUCUUCAACAUUUGAUUUGCUUGGGAUGGGGCUUUAAGAUUUUUCCAUGUAUACUACUUAUAGUCUAAUGACUCAAGUCACGAUUAUGAAAAGUUUAUAUUUUUUUAUCUCUACAUUAAUUAAAUAGAAGUAUCUGAAAAUAGUCACAAGGUUAAAACAAAUAGGUUGGAUGUAUCUAUAAUACAUAAGAGAGUAGAUUAAAAAUUAAUUACAGACAUAUCUAUUACCAAUAAUAUCUUUAUCAAACUUUAGGAAUAACAAUAGCAUUAUGAUCUAUUUGACCGUAUAUAAAAUUAAUACCAACUUUAUAAUCUAUCUCUAACAUUUUCUUAACAUUAGAUCUAUCGCUUUUUAUCUCAUGUAAUAUGUCACCAUAGUUUACAUAGUUUACAUUGUUCAUAGUUUAAUAUCUUGCUUAUUGGUUUCUGAAAUAUCAUCUUAUUAUACUAGUCUUAUUGAUAUCUCUACAAAUAAAAACAAGUUAGUAACUAAAUAUAAAGUAUACCUAUUUUAUAUAAUUGUAGUAAUUAAUAUUUCUAUCAUAUUCUCUUUACAAUUCAACAUAUUAAUCACCACACUUUGCAUCCUUGAAAUAGUAAUCAAAGUACAUUCUUAAUCCUUCAACAAAUCAGUCCACCUUUACUAAUAUAUAUAGCUUACCUUCUUUUAUACAUUAUAACUUCAAUCUAUGUUAUCCCUACGGAAUUGUAUAAGGUUUCCUAUAGUCAAUAUCUUCAGGUAUACAAAACAUUAUAACGAUAACUAUCACCAAUCAUAAUCUAAACAAUUCAUUUCAUACUUCCAUAGAUGUUUUGAUGCUUUAUCAAAAACUCGUCCGUAUAAUAUCUACAUAGUCUCAUGUUCACCCACGACAUUAUCAUGUUCUCGAUCACAAUCCAUUCCUUUAUUCUUGACUGAUAUUUUUCGAUCUUAGUUUAAUCUCAUAAAAACCGAUGUCUUUUCCAGUUGAUUAAAUGAUUCAAAGAUCUAAGAGAAGGUAUUUGUUUUUCAUAAUUACAAGAUGUAAUUAUUUGUAGCCAAUACAAAGCCACCAAUUCUAAUGCAAUUUUACCAUAAAAAGAUUUUCAUAUAUUUAUGUCCAUAAGGAUUUACACAAUCAUUGUCUUAUAAUUCAAUUAAUAUCAACUCUAUACUUCAAGUUAAAUUUUGGAUUUAUUAAUCCAAUUUAGAGUUCACACCCCAUGUUCUAAUUUGUUUAUGGAUUCAUUACACAAAAAAUAUCUCCAGUUAAGACAUUUAUAUAUAUUCAUCAAUAUAAAUUAGCAUGGACUAUUAGAAUUGAAAAGGAGUUAUGAAUGCAUAAUUGAAAUAAUGUUUGAAUUAUUAAUAUCAAAAUGAAAUAAUAAAUACUCGGUAGAUAUGGAGCGGAGAGAGGUUUUAUAAGAGCAUAUGCAAGCAGAUCCUUGGAAGAAAUAAAACGAAUUUGAAUGGCUUUUGUAGCAACUUUUUCAUAGAUAAAAUGGUAAUCAACUUCAACACGUUUAGUACGAGCAUGAAAGAUAGGUUUGCAAAAAAAAAAAUAGCACUGAAGAAGGAGUAAUCUACAGAUCUGACAAUAAAUAUCGAAGCCAUAUGACCUCAGAAGUGUCAUCAGCUAAGGCUUUAUACUCAGCCUCGGUAGAAGACCGAGCAAUGGUGUGUUAUUUUCCUGAAUUCCAAGAAAUCGGUGUAUGUAAAAAAAAAAAAACAAGAUAUUCACUCAUAGAUUUAUGAUCAUUAACACUACUAGCCCAAUUAGCAUUUAUAAAACCAUGCAAGGAAAAAGAAGAGCUACGGGUGAUAUGAAGACCAAAGAAAGGCGUAUCCUUAAGAUAACGUAGAAUGCAUUUAACAACAACCCAAUAUAAAUCUGUAGGAGCAAGCAUAUACUGAUAGACUUUAUUAACAAAUAAACAAAUGUCUAAUCUUGUAAAAGUGAGAUACUGAAGAGCACUAAUAAUUUGCCAAAAUAUAUAGGAUCAGAGAACAAGUAAUCGAACACUACAGUAACCUUAGAUGUAGAAAUAUGAGUAUCAAUAGUCCUGCAAUAAGACAUAUUUGCCUAGUGAAGAAUGUCAAGAACAUAUCUAUCUUGUUGUAGCAUGAGAUUCAUAGUAGUAGGAUGAACCUCAAUGCUAAAAAAAAUAAUGAACAACUCCUAAAUCUUAAAGUUUAAACUCUAAGCUCAGUAAUUGAAUUAAUCUGUGAAGUAAGGCGAAGUUGCUCCAGUUAAUAAGAUGUCAUCAACGUAAACUAGAAGGUAAAAAAAUAUCAUCACCCAUAGAUAGAAUAAAUAACGAGGUGUCAACCUUUGAUGCAUGAAAGCCUAUAAAAACAAGAUAAUCACUAAGUCGAGUGUACCAUGCUUAACGCCAACACCAGUGGAGGAAGAUUCCACAGCAAAGGGAGAAGACAAGGUCUGCAGAUGCAUGAUAGAAUUCACGGCAAUAGUAGAGGAAGCCUAUACAAAACAGAGGGGGAGAAGAAGUCUGAACCAGUGGCUAAGAAGAAGAGUUCAUUGGAAAGAAAAAAAAAGAGUUUAAAGUGUUAGUGCUCUGAUACCAAGUUGAGAAUAAUAAAAGAUUUAACCUAUAAGUUAACCAUCCUUUUUUAUUUAUAUAUGUAGGGUAAUGUACAAUAGUUAAUAUAUAGAUUAUAACACAUAGAUAAUAAUUAAAAAUAGUCAAUCCAGAUGCACCUGGUUCCAAUAUCACACAAUCAAAUAUUGUAUUAAUUAGACCAACCAAUAAUGCAGAGCGGAGGUGGUCAUCACCAACCACAAGUGGGGCUACUUGUUAACUCAACAAACAUAGCAUAUAUGGUCACAAACCAUAUAAGAACCAUACAUGAGAAGCUCAUCUCGUAGUUAUUAAAACAUGUUUUUCCUGUUGUAUUAAUUUCUAUCGCUUUCCCAUUCAUCCAUUUCUCACAACAAUAUAUAUAUAUCAAUAAUUAUAAUCUUUUUAACGUGGGCAGGCCAUCAUCAAGUAUGAAUGCAGUGAGGACUUUGGGACCAGCAGGAACUUACAGAGAUAUUUGGAUUUAUCUCGUGGCGCCUAAACUCGGAGCCCUAGUUGCUGCGGCCACCUACACGACUAAGAAGCUCCGGGAGGAAAAGGCUGGUCCACCUCGUGAACUGCCGGAGUCAGGAGCAUUCGUGCUUGCAGAGAUCAACUUGUAGGGUUCUGAUACUAUUAAUUAUUGCAUGCCUCUCUGAUAAUGUGGGACAAUAUGAUACAUGCAUGAUUAAUAUCUUCGAAGACUUGUGAAGAAUAAAAAGGUGAAAGAGUCCCCGGCCCGCAGAGUGGUUGUAUCAUAUGGUUCACAUGGUGCGGUUGAUUAUCGUCUCUUUCAGUCAUUCUAUAUAAUCCGUACGUAAGAUUUGGGUAAGAUUUUAAGUUAAAUUGUAAGAAUGCGCCAGCAUUAUGCAUAUAUUUUCAAGAAUAUGAUUUUUUUUAAUUAAGAAAUACGAAGAUGUUUAUGUAUAAUAAAUUAAACUAAAUAUAUAUAAAUUGAUCAAUCAUAAAAGUAUUGUUAAUACUAAUAAAAUACUAAAACGACACCCUUCAAUGAUAUAAUAGGAAGUCGAGCCUAAAACUGCCCUAAAUAUAAUACGCGUAUGCUUUUAUAUUCAGUCCAUCCCAACGCCCCUGCAUGGUUCCUUCACAAUCACAUGCUGAAGGCAUUAAAUUAAAGCUCCGACCAGUCAGAUAAUUUGGACCACUUUGACUGGCAAGCGUUUGCCCGAUUUUUACCGGAAUCGGCUUCCUAUGACUGGCUCAAAAAAAGAAAGGCUCCUUUUCUUGCAAUUCCUGCUGAUCGUAUCUUUUCACUCACAUGCUUCAAAAUAGAGCUACCGCCAAGCAUGGAUUUGGUGUUCCUUUAUUUAUUCUGCAGUGAAAGAAGACAACGCUUCUUUUGUCCACAACAAAUUAUAGCUAUAGACCGGACUUCAUCAUGGUUCCUAGAUAGCGGUGUUUCUCACCAUGCUACCUCCAACUUGAGCAACCUCUGGUUGCAUGCACUACAUUAGCUCCGAUGACAUUAUAAUCAGAGAUGGCUUAAGUCUUUCCAUACCUCACAUUAGUUCAACCUCUCUCACAACUCCUCAAACUACCUUUAUAUUAGAAAAUGUUCUUUAUGUCCCUUGCAUGAAAAGUAAUUUGAUUUCAAUUUUUUAAUUUCAUACUUGCUAUAAUGUUUCAACAGAAUUCUAACAAUCUAUUUUUCUUGUAAAGGAACUUUAUAUGGGGGCAACACUCUUAAAGGGCAAACUAAAUAAUGAAUAUAUGAGUGAUCGAUAUCUUCACUAUUUGUUGUUUUUUUCUAGCAUAAAUACCUUGUUUUCUAAGUGGCAUUAUAGAUCAGGACAUCUAACUAUUCCAAUUCUGAAGCACAUCAUUUCUCGUAAUCAACCUAAAACUCAUCUGUUUCCAUUUCAAAACUUCUCUUCCGAACCAAUUGAAAUAAUAUUAUGUUAUUUAAAUGGAUCAUUUCAUCAAAUAAGUAUGGUAUUAUCCUCUCAAGCAAAAAUGAGAAGUUAGAUAUUUUCAUUAGAUUUAAAAUCAUAGAUAAAAAAUAUUUUGAUAAAAAAUCAAAAUUCUUUACUCUUAUAAUGGUGAUGGAUAUAUAUCUCUUGUUACUUUUCUUGCCACCAAUGGUGUAUCUCAUUUCACACACUUGAACAUAAUGGAUUUUCUGAAUGACACAAUAUUUAUAGUCUAAUUAGAUAUAGCAUUGCUAUCACAUGCUUCUUUUCCUCUAUUUUACUAAUCUUAUAUAUUUGUCACUGCAGUUUACCUAAUCUGUUGCAUGUCAACUCCCACACUCAAUUUGUUUUCUCCCUAUGAACACAUAUUUAGCAUUCGUUUAAUUACUCUAAACUACAAGUCUUUGGUUGUUUAUGUUACCCUUGACUUAGACCUUAUACCUCCCAUAAACGUGAUUCAAGUUCCAAAUCUUGCGUCUUUCUUGGCUACUCUUCAACUCAAAGUGCUUGCUAUUUCCUUGAUCCUUCAAGUUCAAAAAUAUAUGUAUCAAGGCAUGUUAAACUUGUCGAGUCUAUAUUUCCUUUCACUUAUCUCUCUAAUUAGACCCCUCAUUCAUAACCUAGUACUAUUACCACUUGGAUUCCACAACCACUUAAAACUACAUCUAAUUUUUUAGUACACCACUCAUUCCUUCAUCGAAAGUUGAAGUUCCUUAUUAGGCUAUAUGUGAAGCUCCAUCACACCCAACUUUGCAUGAGCCUUUACCUACUGCAUCUUCGCAUAAACCUCAAUCAUAUCCUAAUUUUAGGCAACCAUUACUAAAUCCCGAUCUAACUUUGACUCAGCAUCUUUUUUCUAAUACCAUGACCACUCGAUCCAAGAAUAACAUUCAUAAACAGAUUAGAAAAUUGAAUCUCCAUACCUAACUAUCCAAAUCCAAUUAUCUUGAACUAACCAUAGUGACCAAGCUCUCAAAGAUCCUAAGUUGCAUUAGGUCGUGUUUGAAGAGUAUAAUGCUCUAGUUCAUAAUGGAAUAUAAAAGCUAGUACCAUCUUAUUCGAGUUCCCAUAUUGCUGAUAGUAAGUGAAUUUUUAGAACUAAAUGUAAUACUAAUUGUUUCAUUGGAUGUAAAGGGCUUUCAUCAAUGUCCAAAAUUAGAUUACUAUGACACAUCCAAUCAUGUUAUCGAACAAAUCAUUAUUCACGUUGUUCUCAAUUUAGGUGUGAGUCAUGGUUAGACUUUGCGAUAACUUAAUGUAAACAAUGCAUUCUUACAAAGCCAUCUCUUAGAGAAAGUUUACACGACUAACUUCUAGGCUUUGUUGAUUAGGAAACUCUACCUUAUGUGUGCAAAGAAAGCAAUUUAUGACCUCAAAUAAGCUCCCCAAGCAUGGUAUCAUGCUUUAGAAACUCUCAUGUUGAAGCAUCUUUAUGUAUUCAUAAUGUCGAUGAAAACAUUAUAUAUAAAUGAUAGUUAAUAAGUUUUUGUUGAUAAUUUGAUUCUCGCUAUUCAUAUUGCUGAGAUAGUUAAUAGUUUUGUAAUAAUUUUUGCGCGCGCGCGCACACAAUAUUUUGAUCUUGGUGUUAAACUUUCUUGUUUCCAUGUGAUAUUUUGUGAUAAUGUUAGGUGCAAUCAACUUCGUUCCAUUGACUUUCAUUUUCAUCAAGAUUUGACCUUGUCUCUUCCUCAGGCUCGUGUCCUAUAAUUUUAAGAUCAAUAUUUGACCUGUCUCUCAAGCUCCAUAUCAAAAGGACAUAAUAGAGGUAAUUUCAUUGUAUGUUCGUUGUUAUUGUUCGAAUUCCAGCUAAUCUUUCGUUCAAGUAUUUGAUGAGUGCUAUCUUUAUCUUGAAUAUAACUCAAACACAAUGCUCUGCCUUUAUAUACCACAUGAAUACAUACAAGGCGUUCAAUCCUAGCCAUUUUCCUAAUUGUAAAGUAAACAGUUAUUAUUUAAUUAUAUCAGAUAUUAAAUAUGCUGGUUACAAACAGCAUUAUAAAAACAUGGUAAGAGUUUUAAUAAUUGAUUUUACAUUCCGCAUUGCCUGUUAAGAUAUUUUUUUUUUUUUCCAUUUAGUACAUGCCUUGACUAAUAAUAAUUUCAUGCUCUACCGUACAUUCCAUAAAUCUUCAAUAUUAACAAAUGGCAAUUUACAGUGCAGUCCAAUCUUCAGCCUAGACAAUGAUGCAAUUUAUGCGUUCAGACUUAAAGAGUUGAGUCCUAAAUAUUUACAACUUCACAUGUCCAUGACAAUCACCAUGCACAGCGCACCUCGUAUACUUCGGUGCCUUUUGCUCUGCGAAGAUGUAAACCUCAUCAUAUCCCUUCCUAUAGAAGAAUAAAAGAUGAGACGCAGAUCAGUGAAUGCAAGUGCCAAACUAACUUGGUAGCAAUCUAAUCUCAAGAGUCAAUUCACUCACCCGGCUUUCCCGCAAUAUGUGGGACUGUAAUUGUAGAUUAAAUUGGCGAGUACCUUCCGAGAAGAUGGCCUGUUCAAGGACUUCCUAGCCUCACUGCAGCACAAAAUAAAUUACUGAAAUCAGUUUCUUUUUUAUCUUAUCACUCUUCUGUAAACAACAUAGUACCAUAAAUAGAUGAAAAGAAAGGUCAUGAAGCACGCAAUUGGACUCUUCAUUUCCUGAGGUUUAUGGACUUUUGACAGAGUCCUCACAAAAAACUACAGAAACAAUCAUGCAGCCAUCGUAAACUUGUUGUAACAUGCAUGUGAAUGACAUUGCUCUUUUUAAAUUAUGCAACCUCAAUUCAGAAUGCAAACACUCGAAUUGCCUUCUCAGCACAUCUCAAAAAAGUUUACAGCAUGAGCAAACAACUUUUCAGCACAACAAAAUCCUCACCUGACAAAGAAGUUUGCAAUGUGUUGGGUAACUUGAAUGGCAUCCUCUGAGUGUGGAAUCAUUGAUAAACCCCAUUCAAAAGCAUUUUUCUGGAAAUCAUUUGGAUGAACAGUCACAUUUCAGUCAUUAGUGAUCCCAUCACUACAAGCAAUUAUAAAAUUGCAAUAACAGUAGGCAGAUCGGGGCGGAAUGAAAUUGACAAUUGCACCAUACCAUGAGGGACCAUUUGUUCAAAGCAUUUAGAAGUUAAAGUUGAGCUAUAAAAAUACCAUCAUGUCAUUCUAUCCCCCACCCCUCCUGGUAUGUAUCAUGUUAGAGCUAAUAAAAAACUGCCAUCUUUCAACUUCACAAAAGAGCUCAGACCUUAACUCUAGCUCAAUUUGAUUAAACUGAAUACAUGGAUGACUGAUCUGUGUAAAAGUACUAGACCAUUCAUAAAAAUUUAGAAAGAAAAAAGAGAAGGUAAAAGAACCAAACUCAACUUAAACACAUAUACACAGAACUUGCUUAUAUGACACCAUUGCUGUAAGAAAAUAGUUUGCAUGUAUUUUACAUAUAGAUGAGGAAUGGAAUACCGAGAGUGAAAAUUGACUUAAGAAUUUCUCCUGCAACUAAAAAACAAAUACAGCUGCCUCCCUUUAUUCCAAAACAACCUUUUUUAAGGGUAUAUGGGACUCAUCAUCCUUCCCAAAUUGCCUGAGUAUCUGACUCCAUAUUUCAUACAAGUACGUAUUUGACCAACCAAAACAUGCAUCUGCAAACAAAUCACAAUAGCACUAAUGCAAAGCACGUAUAGCAAUACCUCAGGAUGCCAUUGGAAGGCAGUCACAGGAUAGCCGCAAGCUUGUACAGUGGAGACAUAGACCUAAAAUAGUUAUUGGAAAGAGAAUUAGAGCUCUUCCAGCAUAUAGAAAACUACAUUGCAAAAUUAAUGCAUCCAUUACCUGGUUAUCUUCAUCUGUACUAGUAGUCAAGAUCUCAAAGAAACUAGAUAGAUGUUCAUUCUCCUGAAACCGUUGUGGUGAGAUGCCAUACUGUUGCAAUGGAAAAUCAGAUAAGUUAAAUAAAAUAACAUGACACAGCCUUCUGGCUAAAGGAUUGGGAUUCUAAUUUCAGAGUAACAGUGGAAUUUUAAAGAUUAAAGACAGCAUUAACACAACAAUCAUGGUUCAAUAGCAAGUAGAAAAACUUUGAAUUGAGGGAAGCAAACAAGCAUGGAUCAUCUCCCUAAUCUAGUUGAAAUUCUGGAAAUGCCGAAUAUAAAUAUUUCCCAAGAAAGGAAACAAAAACAAGAAACUCUAGAUCCCAUAUGAGCUCCCAACUACAGCAUCUUUCUGUCUUUGACUUGAGUGAUACUCAUCAGCCAAUGUAUUUUAGUUAACUUUUGAGGGACUAUUUUUCAGUAUAAGAGUAUAAAAAUAUGCUUGGGUUAUGAGGAAAUCUAAUUUACUUUCUCCUUGAUUUGAAUUAAAUGCAUAUCCAGACAUUCCUUGAUCUCCAAUCAAGAGGAAAUGAGAAGGUAAUGCUGGUUUAUAAGACAGAACUCUGCACCAAAAUAAAAUUAUAUAUAAAAAAAAAUUCACAUGCUCCUUUUUGAAGUUUAAAAUGCCCUUUAGUAGAGAAUCCUAAACAUAGAGAGAAAGAAGUAAAAGGGAUUAAUGUGUCACUAUAUUUUACCAUGCAACCGAAUUCCAAAGGUACUACUAGUUUUUUGAACUCACACGAUGGUUUUGCAUGACUAGGCAAUCUGUACUCAAUCUUUUAAGCAAAUCUGGAGGAAAUCUGCAAAGAAAUGUCGAUGUUAACAAGCAUGCUUGGUACAGUUAAAAGUAUCAUUUUGCUGCUGUUGAAACACAACAGAACUUUUAUAAGGAAAACAAAAUUCACAAUAAAUGUCAAAGAAGUUAAGAGAAACUGUAUCAAUGACGUGAUAACCAUAUCAAAGCCAGGGAACCUUCUCCAUGCUAGUAAUUAAGUCGGACUAAAAUCACAGGUAGGCAUUUGGCAUGUCGAACAAGACAUUGAGAUAACAGCAUACUACAAAUUAAGAAGUAAAACAAAUAUUGAUGACCAAGGUGCCAUUAAUUGGGUUUUAUGAUUGUUUACUUGCAUAUAAGAGAAAUAGAAUAACUAAAAACUUGACAAAAAAAAUCAACUCUCUCUUUUCAGAUCAUCUAAGAACUUAAAGUUUUCUAGAUUUAGCAAAGUAAGUGAUUAUUGGUUUCAAGACAGAUUCAGGUGCGCUAGUCAUUGAGACAAAUCCCUGCUUUGUAGGAUCAGCACUAAUUCAUUGCUAUUUACACUGUUUAAUACAUUAGGAUCCUUUCUGGCUCUAUAAAGAAACUAAGAACCUUGUUAAAAAAACAAAGUGUUUCGUGUUUGAUAAAUACAAAGAUUUGAGAAUGCUUAUACUAUCUGGUACAAGAGGAAUGCUUGAGCUUUUACCAAAGCGAACAAGAUGGGACAAAAUUACAGUGCAUAUACCUCCGAAAUACAGUUCCUUCGAUAUUUAUGUUAUUCAUAAAUUGAAGAGUAGAAGCCUGAUCUGCUCCAUUAAAUGUUUCCAGAAUUUGAUUGUCCUAUUAUCAAGAAAAAACAGUCAUGCUCAUAAUUGAAAACAAAGGGAGUUCAAAAAUUGUUUUUCUCAGGUAUUUCUCAAGUGAAAGUAUCUUAGAGUUGUAAGCAUUUCCACUAAUAGUGUAUUAAUAUUUGAAAUAACUACUUGGACAUUUUGACAUUGAUGGAUGAUCAAGCAAACAAAACAGAAAAAGCCGCAUGAAGUCAAUUAUAGUUGCAAUGACGUUCACACUGCUGAUAUUUUUCUGUAAUUUUAAACGUGAGGGGCCAAAAAGAGUUUCUAGCAAACACUUCACAACUGCACUGUGAGGCUGUGUUAAGUUAAUUAUGCAUCUCACAGGGAUGCAGAAUCGCUAGGAAUAAAUUUGAGACAAGAGUAGCUUGGUGACACGGAACAAAGACCGAUUGAUGUAAAAGGGGUAAAAGACUCAGAAAAUAGAAAAGGGAUAGAAAACCUAGAAUCACCAAGCUAAUUUCCUAAAUAUCAACAAAAGCUUCCUUGAAUACACUGCAAAACACUGGAGGAAAUCCACCUCUGUAAAUUGAAACUGAAAUUCUCAAUUUAAUAUCAUAAUGGCUAAAAAAAAUACACAAUUUGUGCUUACAUAGGCACACCAAAAGUCCUGAAGAGUCCUAAUCACUAUCGGCUAUAUAUGAUUAAAAAAAAAACACCCUACUGAUACUAAUAGUGAUAAAAUCCUAAUUAAUACCAAAUAUCCUAAUAAGAUAAUAAAUUGAUAAUUCUUCUUCUUGCACUAAAUCAGUCGGACAUGAUGGAAAAUAUGGGAACGAUUGGAAUGGAAAUGUUAGAUCACUAUGGUCUAUAUAUCCAUACAUUUUAGGUAUGAUGGGCUACACAUUACCUCACUAAUGAUCAUUGUCAGGAUUUCAAAGCCUAAGCAGAUGGCAUACACUGGGAAAUGGAAGCCUGCAUCAUUCUUUGCUAAAAUUUCCUGCAAGUUAAAUACGAUUGAAUUGAUAGCAGCUAGGAGGGUAAACCAACAGUACAAUAUCCUAUGUUUUCUUUUAUUUAUUUAUUUGUGGUAAACUCCCAAGUCCCAACACAUGUCAAACGUGGAGAUUCAAAUCAAAUUUUUAUUAUUUUACAAAAUUACCAACCUUGAAAAUUGCCUUCACAGUGUCAAAGUAUAAACCAGUUUUAGCCCAACCUCCUGUAAAGAGCACUCCAUUUACCAGAUUGAGCUUCUGCAAUGCAACAACAUAGAGCAAGCUUGACCAUCAUUUAUCACCUAAUGGAUAUAACAAGAAGCCAUGCUAUCCCUUUUAAUGAUCAUGCACAAAACUUUAUAUAAUUCAGAAUUUUGUAUUUGAUUUUUUAAUAUUUUUUUUCAUCAACAAAGUUUUUAACUCCAAGUCAUUAACUCAACUAAGCAUACUUAAUUUCUGAAUCAUUAAAAAAAAACUAUUUCAUUUCUCUCAAUUGCAAUCAAAUAAAAUAGCUCAAGAAUUUCUCAUUCCAUUUUCCAAUUUCAUCUUAUCUGACGAUCCAUCUCCCUCUACUCGCUACAACAUCAAUAUCUGCACUUCUCCUUUAAAAAUCUCGAUACCUCAAAAAGAAUCUCUCGUGGCUCGUUAUAAAUCAAGGGAAUAACCCUGGCACCAGCCGAUUCAACAAACUUAACGUACGACGCCGCAAUAUAAGAAGCGUUCGUCGCGUUGUUCAGCCUUCCGGACGCACCGUCGCCUGGAUGACUUAAAAUUCCAAUCACCGGCCGGUAAUUCAACUUGAUGUCCUGGGCCGAACACCUAGGCACGGAAGGCGAGUCAUCAUCGGCGAGUUGACUCGGGGGGGGAAUCGAAGGAGAAGAAGUUGUAGCUGUUGCUGCUCGAGCUAGGGUUAGCUCUUUAGAGAGUGACAUUAAGAAAGGGAUCCAAAGGUAAGUGCACAUGUCUGGAGCAGUAGAGGAGGAGGAGGAAGUUGAGGUGAGGGAAACCGCGGUGUCGUUUUGGAGAUCAGAGGUUUUGGUGGUAGGGGUAGAAGGGGCAUUAGAGAGGAAGUGUGAAGGCAUUUUGGAAAAUUAGGAAGUAAAAUAAGUUAAGG